rfam:Schistosoma mansoni strain Puerto Rico chromosome 4, complete genome
CCACUGCUGAGGAGUCCCAUAUUAGGACGAAAUGGCCAUCUAGUGC